CUCCGGAAUAUUAUUUUUUGGGCACGACCGGACAACUACCGAUAUCUAUUAAUAUCUUUUCUUAGAAUGUUCUUUAGAAAUAUAUAUCUAUCUAUCUAUAUCGUAAACUAUCGGAUCGGGUAUUACUUAGAUGUGAAACUUGCAGACCUCAUAGGUUGUAAUCUUUUUCUUACGGGGGGAACGAAAUCAAAGAAUAUAUAGACUAGUAGAGACCCUCUAUGUAGUUGUCUAUCUAGGGCGAUCGAUCUACAUCUUUCCCCAUAGCCCUGGGGCUGUGUCUCGAUCUCCUAUGUGCGAAAUAUAAGGGACUAGUUCCCAUAGAGAUUCCCCUUGG
rnacentral:lncRNA from 1 species